rnacentral:rRNA from 1 species
CCCUUAGAUGUUCUGGGCCGCACGCGCGCUACACUGAUGCAUUCAACGAGUUUCUUCCUGGUCCGAGAGGAAUGGGUAACCUUUUGAAAGUGCAUCGUGAUAGGGAUAGACUAUUGCAAUUAUUGGUCUUCAACGAGGAAUUCCUAGUAGACGUAGUUCAUCAGACUGCAUCGAUUACGUCCCUGCCCUUUGUACACACCGCCCGUCGCUCCUACCGAUUGAAUGCUCAGGUGAGCCAUUCGGACUUUCAUCAUGCUGGUUUCCAGUUUUGAUGAAGGAAAGUCUUGCGAACCUUAUCAUUUAGAGGAAGGAGAANUCGUANCA